rnacentral:rRNA from 1 species
UGAGGAAUAUUGGUCAAUGGGCGAGAGCCUGAACCAGCCAAGUAGCGUGCAGGAUGACGGCCCUAUGGGUUGUAAACUGCUUUUAUAGGGGAAUAAAGUGGGAGUCGUGACUCUCUUUGCAUGUACCCUAUGAAUAAGGACCGGCUAAUUCCGUGCCAGCAGCCGCGGUAAUACGGAAGGUCCGGGCGUUAUCCGGAUUUAUUGGGUUUAAAGGGAGCGUAGGCCGGAGAUUAAGCGUGCUGUGAAAUGUAGACGCUCAACGUCUGCACUGCAGCGCGAACUGGUUUCCUUGAGUACGCACAAAGUGGGCGGAAUUCGUGGUGUAGCGGUGAAAUGCUUAGAUAUCACGAAGAACUCCGAUUGCGAAGGCAGCUCACUGGAGCGCAACUGACGCUGAAGCUCGAAAGUGCGGGUAUCGAACA